rnacentral:rRNA from 1 species
GACGAACGCUGGCGGCAGGCUUAACACAUGCAAGUCGAGCGCCCCGCAAGGGGCGCGGCAGACGGGUGAGUAACGCGUGGGAACGUGCCUUUUGGUUCGGAACAACUCAGGGAAACGUGAGAUAAUACCGGAUAAGCCCCGAGGGGGCAAGAUUUAUCGCCAAAAGAUCGGCCCGCGUCAGAUUAGGUAGUUGGAGGGGUAACGGCCCACCAAGCCGAUGAUCUGUAGCUGGUCUGAGAGGACGAUCAGCCACACUGGGACUGAGACACGGCCCAGACUCCUACGGGAGGCAGCAGUGGGGAAUAUUGGACAAUGGGCGCAAGCCUGAUCCAGCCAUGCCGCGUGGAUGAAGAAGGCCCUAGGGUUGUAAAGUCCUUUCGGCGGGGACGAUAAUGACGGUACCCGCAGAAGAAGCCCCGGCUAAUUUCGUGCCAGCCGCCGCAGUAACAC